rnacentral:pre_miRNA from 1 species
GUGACAGAAGAGAGUGAGCACACAGGGUGCUUUCUUGCAUGCUUGGCUUUCAUGCUUGAAGCUCUGCGUGCUCACUCUCUAUCUGUCAU